CACGAAGGGGGCUAGCGUUGCUCGGAAUUACUGGGCGUAAAGGGCGCGUAGGCGGAUACUUAAGUCGGGGGUGAAAGCCCGGGGCUCAACCUCGGAAUUGCCUUCGAUACUGGGUAUCUUGAGUUCGGGAGAGGUGAGUGGAAUGCCGAGUGUAGAGGUGAAAUUCGUAGAUAUUCGGCGGAACACCAGUGGCGAAGGCGGCCUGCUGGGCAGUUGCUGACACUGAGGCGCGACAGCGUGGGGAGCAAACAGG
rnacentral:rRNA from 1 species